UGGGGAAUAUUGCACAAUGGGCGCAAGCCUGAUGCAGCCACGCCGCGUGUGUGAAGAAGGCCUUCGGGUUGUAAAGCACUUUCAGCGAGGAGGAAGGGUAGUGUGUUAAUAGCACAUUGCAUUGACGUUACUCGCAGAAGAAGCACCGGCUAACUCCGUGCCAGCAGCCGCGGUAAUACGGAGGGUGCAAGCGUUAAUCGGAAUUACUGGGCGUAAAGCGCACGCAGGCGGUUUGUUAAGUCAGAUGUGAAAUCCCCGCGCUUAACGUGGGAACUGCAUUUGAAACUGGCAAGCUAGAGUCUUGUAGAGGGGGGUAGAAUUCCAGGUGUAGCGGUGAAAUGCGUAGAGAUCUGGAGGAAUACCGGUGGCGAAGGCGGCCCCCUGGACAAAGACUGACGCUCAGGUGCGAAAGCGUGGGGAGCAAACA
rnacentral:rRNA from 1 species